AGGGGGGGGUGGGGCCUUGGGGCCGCGAGUGGGAGCGGGAGCGGUUCUGCGGCCUCCUCGGGCUUCUUGGCCCUGGGCGGAGUGGGAUUGGGUGUCCCGGCUGUUCGCAGUGGCCGCGAGUGCGGCCGGACCUGGAGUAGUACCUGAGCCGCUCUGGCCGAGCAAGGCGCGGGGCCCCGGUCUACACCGCGCUGGACCCGGCUAUGCCGUGACGGAAUUCCCGAGGCCGUAGCGCCACGCGAGACGCGCACUGGUGGCCUCCGCGGCGAGUCCUGGGGUCUCCGCAAGGCCUCAGUGCCCGAGCUGGGGACGUGCUGGGGGGAGGCCCGGCCCCGUCGCUGCCCGAGGCCCCGCUGUCCCGGCCGGACCGGCCUGGUCCCUGGCGUCCUGUCGGGUCCGCGCUGGAGGAGAGUCCCAGACAGCAGAGCCCGCGCUCGCCUCCCUUCCGCCAAGAUUCACAGAACACGGCAGAGUGGCCUCGGGAUCACCUGCCCAAGACACCUGCACGACCGGAAGUUGGGAGAAGAAAUUAAGGCCAUGAUGAUGAACGCAGCCUUUCUCGUUUAUUUCCAAUCCCACAACAAACCGGAGUCCAGGAACUCAUGGAAGGGCCUCUGCACGGAGAUUUGAGCAGCCAGAACUC
rnacentral:lncRNA from 10 species